GAUGAACGCUGGCGGCGUGCCUAAUACAUGCAAGUCGAGCGAACAGACGAGGAGCUUGCUCCUCUGACGUUAGCGGCGGACGGGUGAGUAACACGUGGAUAACCUACCUAUAAGACUGGGAUAACUUCGGGAAACCUGAGCUAAUACCGGAUAAUAUAUUGAACCGCAUGGUUCAAUAGUGAAAGACGGUUUUGCUGUCACUUAUAGAUGGAUCCGCGCCGCAUUAGCUAGUUGGUAAGGUAACGGCUUACCAAGGCAACGAUGCGUAGCCGACCUGAGAGGGUGAUCGGCCACACUGGAACUGAGACACGGUCCAGACUCCUACGGGAGGCAGCAGUAGGGAAUCUUCCGCAAAGGGCGAAAGCUUGACGGAGCAACGCCGCGUGAGUGAUGAAGGUCUUCGGAUCGUAAAACUCUGUUAUUAGGGAAGAACAAAUGUGUAAGUAACUAUGCACGUCUUGACGGUACCUAAUCAGAAAGCCACGGCUAACUACGUG
rnacentral:rRNA from 1 species